rnacentral:rRNA from 1 species
UGGGGAAUAUUGGACAAUGGGCGAAAGCCUGAUCCAGCCAUGCCGCGUGUGUGAAGAAGGUCUUCGGAUUGUAAAGCACUUUAAGUUGGGAGGAAGGGCAUUAACCUAAUACGUUAGUGUUUUGACGUUACCGACAGAAUAAGCACCGGCUAACUCUGUGCCAGCAGCCGCGGUAAUACAGAGGGUGCAAGCGUUAAUCGGAAUUACUGGGCGUAAAGCGCGCGUAGGUGGUUUGUUAAGGUGGAUGUGAAAUCCCCGGGCUCAACCUGGGAACUGCAUUCAAAACUGACUGACUAGAGUAUGGUAGAGGGUGGUGGAAUUUCCUGUGUAGCGGUGAAAUGCGUAGAUAUAGGAAGGAACACCAGUGGCGAAGGCGACCACCUGGACUAAUACUGACUCUGAGGUGCGAAAGCGUGGGGAGCAAACA